AAAAAAUCAAUACCCAAGAUCUCAAUCUCUGGAGGAUCUAAAUCACAACUCAUUGGACUGACAUUGUGUUUUCUAUAUUAGCGGAAAUCAUUUUUUUGUGGUCUUAAAGUCCUUCACAAGAACAUAACUACUCAAAUAUUGCCAGAGCCAUGGAAGAGGAUGAUUGGACAGAGAACAUAAGAAUUGAAAGCAAAAGCAGGUUCAGCUUACUGCUGCAGAAGGAUAGCAGUAGUGCACGGCACUGGCACAGCUCUGGUGAUUCCAGUCCAAUCCUCACAACUGGUACUGCCUGUGUGGAGUUUGCAUAUCUUCCCUGUCCCUAGGUGCUCCAGACUCCUUCCACAUCUCAGAAAAUGUGCAAAUUGAAGGCAAUAGCAAACCACCGUUGCUGGAUACCAGGUUUCCUAGAAUCUAUUUGCUAAGAAAACCAUAAUCGAACUCGUAAAAUGUAUCGCACAACAACAGUGUCAAGAAGAUCUUCAAGACAGUUCUGAAGAUGCUUCGCUCGGUCGGGUUGAUUCUGGGUAGCGGGCGGAUCCCCGACCAUCAUCAAGCUGCUGCUCAUAAAAUUCAAGUAACACAAAAGAAAAUUAUUGCCACUUGGAAUGUAGAACCCUAUAUCAAACAGGAAGAUUGGACAAUGUGAUAAAUGAAAUGGGAAGACUAAAGAUUAACAUCAUGGGAAUUAGUGAAGUUCUUUGGACAGGUGCUGGAACACGUCAGAAUUGAAAUACAACACUAAUUUAUUUCUGUGGAACAUCCCAUACUAAUGGAAUAGGAAUUGUUAUGGAUGAAAACAUGGCAAAAAGUGUUUUAGGACAUUGGGCAAAAUCAGAAAGAGUGCUCCUUGUUAGAUUCAGUGGACAACCAUUUAAUUUAGCAAUUAUACAGGUUCUAACAACAAUUGGAACAAAUGAUGAUAUAGAUAAAUUCUAUGAAGAGCUUGAACAAGCAAAGAAUAGAUGCAAAUCUCAAGAUAUUGUUAUUGUUAUGGGAGAUCUAAACGCUAAAGUAGGACAAGGUGCUGAUGGAAAUACCAUAGGAAAAUUUGGACUAGGGGAAAGAAAUGAAAGAGGUGAGAAAUGGGUAGAAUGGUGCAAGAUGAAUAAUCAGGUCAUUAUGAAUACCUACUUUAAAAACCAUCCAAGACACUUGUGGACCUGGAAAAGUCCAGGUGAUAACACCAGAAAUCAAAUUGACUUUAUUACUGUAAACCAAAGCUUUCGAAACUCAGUGACUCAAUGCAAAACAUAUCCAGGUGCAGACUGUAAUAGUGACCAUAACCCAGUAAUAUGUCAUGUAAAAGUAAAACUUAAAAAACUAAAGAAGCAAAAACCUGAACAAUCCCUUGACUACUCACAAUUAAUUAAAGAAAAAAAACUUAAGAUAAAAACUUACAAUUGAAUUAAGGAAUAGAUUUCAAAGUCUAGAAAUAGAAUCUGUUGAAGAUGAUAGUGAUCAUGUAGAAAUGAAAUUUAGCUCUCUAAGGGAUGCCUUGGUAGAAUCAGCAAAGUCAGUGAUUCCUAAAAAAGAAAAAACGGAUGAUAGAUGAAAUCAGACACCUAAUGGAAGAAAGGAGAUGGAAGAAAGCAAAUCCCAUAAAAUAUAAGUCCUUAGAUAAAAAGUUAAAAGCUUAUGUCAAAAAGCCAAAGAAGAAUGGUUAAACCAGGAAUGUGAGUAACUGGAAAGAAUCCCUAUCACUGAUCCAAAAAGGUUACAUCAGCAAAUCAAGAAUAUCACUGGUAAAAGCUCCACUAUUCUUCAGGUGGAUGUUUGAAAGCAAAGGACAGUACCAUUAUCAUGGAAAAGGAUGAGAUUAUGAUCAGAUGAACUGAAUAUAUUCAAGAAUUGUUUGAAGAUGAUUAAGGUGAAAAACCAGAAAUGAAGAACAUUGAAGGUCCAACUAUUUUAAAAUCUGAAGUUCAUAAUGUAAUAAAUAAGAUGAAGAAAGGAAAUGCAGCAGGUCCUGAUAAAUUAGUAAUAGAACAAAUUAUCACCCUUGAAGAUUAUGGAAUUGAAAAACUUACUGAUUUAAUCAAUGACAUUUAUGAGACUGGAAUAAUACCAGAAGAGAUGAAAAAAAUCAGUAUUUAUCACUCUUCCUAAGAAACCUGGAGCAAUAGAAUGUGAAUUACAUAGGACCAUAAGUUUAAUGAGUCAUAUCACCAAGAUACUUCUAAGAAUUUUGAUGACAAGAGCUAAAAGUAAGAUUCAAGCUGAAAUAGGUAAAGAACAAUGUGGUUUUGUGAAAGACAAAGAUACUAGAAGCGUGAUAUUGAUGUUAAGGAUACCAUCAGAAUGAGCUAUUCAAGUGCAAAGAGAUUUGUUUGUUUAAUCGACUACACAAAAGCAUUUGAUAAAGUGAAGCACAAUAAGUUAUUUGAAAUAUUACAGGAAACUCUAGAUCUAGAUUCGAAAGAACUCUGCCUAAUCAGAAAUCUGUACUGGGAACAAACUGCCACUGUAAGAAUAGAUGGAGAAGUGAGUCAGUUCACGAAAA